GCGGGUGUAGCUCAAUGGCAGAGCGUUUGCUUCCCAAGCAAAAUGUUGAGAGUUCGAAUCUCUUCACCCGCUCC
rnacentral:tRNA from 1 species